GGAUGAGCCCGCGGCCUAUCCGCUUGUUGGUGGGGUGAUGGCCUACCAAGGCGACGACGGGUAGCCGGCCUGAGAGGGUGUCCGGCCACACUGGGACUGAGACACGGCCCAGACUCCUACGGGAGGCAGCAGUGGGGAAUAUUGCACAAUGGGCGGAAGCCUGAUGCAGCGACGCCGCGUGAGGGAUGACGGCCUUCGGGUUGUAAACCUCUUUCAGCAGGGAAGAAGCGUGAGUGACGGUACCUGCAGAAGAAGCACCGGCUAACUACGUGACAGCAGCCGCGGCCG
rnacentral:rRNA from 1 species